GACGAACGCUGGCGGCGUGCUUAACACAUGCAAGUCGAGCGGUAAGGCCCUUUCGGGGGUACACGAGCGGCGAACGGGUGAGUAACACGUGGGUGACCUGCCCUCAGCUCUGGGAUAAGCCUGGGAAACCGGGUCUAAUACUGGAUAUGACUCCAUGACGCAUGUUGUGGGGUGGAAAGCCUUGUGCGGCUGAGGAUGGGCCCGCGGCCUAUCAGCUUGUUGGUGGGGUGANGGCCUACCAAGGCGACGAUCGGUAGCUGGUCUGAGAGGACGACCAGCCACACUGGGACUGAGACACGGCCCAGACUCCUACGGGAGGCAGCAGUGGGGAAUAUUGGACAAUGGGCGCAAGCCUGAUCCAGCGAUGCCGCGUGUGUGAAGAAGGCCU
rnacentral:rRNA from 1 species